rnacentral:tRNA from 1 species
GAUUCGGUAGCUCAGCUGGUAGAGCAGCACCCUUUUAAGGUGAUGGUCGACGGUUCGAAUCCGUCCCGAGUCA